UUUGCGGUGUGUGUCGUCGGUCUUCGUCUACAAGAUUUUCAGCCAGAGAAAAGAAUAUUUUGCUGUAUUUUACGAAGUAAUUUAGCUGUCAAUGACGAGGACAUCUCAAAGACGUGCCGAAAUCAGAAAAAUGUCGGAGAAAAAAUCCAAUUUCCACAUCAUCCAUCGGCUUAUUUUGAUGGAAAAAGAUGCUAAACAGCCUGUAACUGGAUAAAUUGAUUCUAUCCUCGGUGGCUUGUGGUGUUACAACAAAGACAAAGGCAAAAGUAAAAAGGAGUAUCUUGAAUGAUACAAAAUUCACAGACUUUUUAGAACUCGGUCUAUUUUUACGGUUAAUUUUCACAUUUUCUGAAUGGAAAUUUAAUUUGAAUGUAGGGAUCUCCGAGGGCUAUUUAGUUUGAAAACAUCUCCUGGAAGCUGAAGAUUUCGUUAUUAAGAUCUGAAGCUCCGAUCGUCUUCCCCAACACUUGGUUUUUUCGGCUACUUUUUUCGUGUGUGAAGUAAAACAGUUCGUAACAGAGAACAAGGUGAAAAUUAUCAAUGAUGUCAGAAGAUAAAUAAACUUCAAUGAACUUCAUUUUUUGAACCGAUGAUGUCAUAGAAGAUAAAAAAAAACCAUUCUUCAAUGAACUUCAAUUUGUGAACCACUGAUAAUUGGCUAAAUUUCAAAUUCAGUAAAAGGGAGGCGGAAAAAUAAGAUUCUAUCCCGUACGUGGUGUCACGUACUUCAAAGAUAAAGGCGAAAGUAAAAAAGGAUAUCUUGAAGGACACAGAAUUCUCCAGUUGCAGACUUUUCUCGGUCUAUUUUUACGGUUAAUUUUCAUAUUUUCUGAAUGGAAAUUUAAUUUCAAAGUAGCGAUCUCCAAGGGCUAUUUAGUUUGAAAGAAUCUUCUCGAAGCUGAAAAUUUGUCAUUAAGGGCUGAAAAGGAUGGCACUCACUAUGUGAACAUUAAGUGCACUUCGAGGAGAAAAUAAAGGAUCAGUAAUUUAUUUUGCAUUCGGGAGUGCGUUCAUUGUUAAUUGUCUAUUUUUUCAAAUCCAAACAGAAAUCUAAUUUUUUUUUUUAGUUGAAAUUUACCCUCGGGAGUGUUCGAAUUCUUUAAAACCGCGAUCGUUAAAAAAAAGUAUGUCAAUUUUCUUUUUAGUUUCUGUUUGGUAAUUAAAGUAAAGUAAUUUUUUAUUUAGUUUCAAAAUUAAUUUCGGGAGUGUUCGAAUUCUUUUAAACCGCGAUCGUAAUUUCUUUUUGUAAUUUUUGUUUAUAGUUUUAUAAUUUCGGUAGUGUUCGAAAGUGCAAUGGAUGUGAUAUUUGAAAGCAGCUCCAGAAUAAAGAUUGAUUACAUGUCAGACGUGAUGAUGGGUUGAAUAUUCAGAUGCGAUAAACAUUUAUAGGCGAAGUAUGGCUGUCUUAAUACCUCCAAUAUCAGGAAUAGGAUAACCAUGUGCAGAUAACAACCAGG